rnacentral:SRP_RNA from 17 species
AUGUGCGGUGAGGAUGGUCGACUGGAGUGACCCCAAGGACAACGAGCCAUACAGCGGUGCUGGAGCGGAUCGUGGGCAGAUCAACAAAGCGGAGCAAGUGUGGGACAGUGUAAAGCAGCGGACCGAACGGGCCAGGGAGGAAGCGCAGCAGAAGAACACCGGC